rnacentral:rRNA from 1 species
CCCUUAGAUGUUCUGGGCCGCACGCGCGCUACACUGAUGCAUUCAACGAGCCUAUCCUUGACCGACAGGUCCGGGUAAUCUUUGAAUCUGCAUCGUGACGGGGAUAGAUUAUUGCAAUUAUUAAUCUUCAACGAGGAAUGCCUAGUAGGCGCAAGUCAUCAGCUUGCGUCGAUUACGUCCCUGCCCUUUGUACACACCGCCCGUCGCUCCUACCGAUUGAGUGGUCCGGUGAGGCUUUGGGAUCUGAGCGGAAAGAGCGUUUCGCUGUUUCUGCUCGGAAAACUCAGUCGAACCUUAUCAUUUAGAGGAAGGAGAAGUCGUAACA